GGUGAGAUGGCGGAGCGGUCUAAGGCGCCAGACUAAGGUACGAGUCCAAAUCUGGUCCGAAAGGGCGUGGGUUCGAAUCCCACUCUCAUCA
rnacentral:tRNA from 1 species